GUUGAAAAAAUCCAAAUUAUUGGUUUUGGGGGUCACAUGUCAUCUAUCAGAAUGUAUUAACAAAGUUCUUUGAGAAAGCCAAAAAAAAAAAAAAUCCAUGCAUAUGCAUGCAUAAAAUAUGGGGUGUGCACAUAUCAGCUGGGGAUAAAAGUGAAACAAAAUAAGAUCGGGUCCGAAUAAUUUAGUGGCACUUAGUCAAGGGUUGUGAAUUUUGUCCUAGAAAUUUGUUCUCUAUACCCUACUU
rnacentral:lncRNA from 1 species